CUCAAAAUGGAGCACAGGCUGGAUUUUUCCCCAUGGUUGCGAAGGCAGCUCCAUUUUGAAGAAGGAAGUUCAGUAAUUGCUGCCUGACAGACCUCCCUGUCAACUCUCUGGGAUAUCAGUGCUGGAUUGUUUGCUGGGAAAACAUCUAAAGUCAACAGAGGGAGGUACUGGAAAUAGCAUUCAGAUGGGCAGGGGAUAUCUAGUGGUCAGAUGGAAGCACAUGAAAGAGUCGUGCUGAAGCUGGAGGUGGCUCUGAUGGUUCCCCAGUAUGGAUUUAUAUCCCAGUGGAACUUGUACUUCUGGUAAUCAAAGACUGUAAGUGUAUCCUGCCUGGACUGCUCAUAUUGCUGGUGACAAGUGAUGCUAAAGUGACUGCACUGUCAGCUACUGGAAGCCUCAGGCAACAUGCAGCAGGCUACAUACAGGGCUGGUUGCCUUAACUGCUUUUGACAUUUCUUCUCUCUGACCAUGAGGUUGCUGAGAUGGGAAGAUUAAGUUGCUCGUGGAAGAAUGAGACCUGACACAGGUGUGGAUUGAAGCUUUCAGCUGAAAGAGAACACCCACGUGGGAAACUUCAGCUCCUUCAGUUAGCAUUUAACAGAAUCUGCAGCAGUUGAGAGCAGGGUCAUCCUGCAUGUGGGCAGCGCAGAGCUUCAGCAGGACAGAAUGACCUCAGAAUGGACUCAUUGUCAUCUUUCUAGCUUCUGUGAGAGCAGUGAGAAUGGCUACCUCCUGGAGUCAGCACUAGAGAGGGAUGGAGUCCCAUUGGUACAAGACACAUAAGGAACUUAGCUGCAAAUCCAAAAGAAUCUGAGAGUGGAAAGUGGGACAGUCCAGUGGGUGCAAACCAGGAGCCCCGAGGAGAAUCCUGUGAGUUAAUUACUGAGCUUUGGGCUUUGCCUUCUGACUCUGGGCCUUUCUGACCAUCACUUCCUUGCCUUCCCUCUUGUCUUUCAAACACCUACCCAUGUCAGUUUCCUUGUCCCACACCUCACUCAGCUUUGACCUACAGCUUUUCACCUGCAUCUCUUCUGCUUUGCUGGGUCUUACACAGAAUUAACUUGCUUGCUUCCCACUUCCUCAACUUCAUUGCACAGACUUCCCAUGCAGACAAGGCAGAGAUCUCUGGAAGACAUCCUUGGAGAAAGAGUAAAAAAAAAAAUAAGGAAAAAUGUAAGUAGUUAUAUUCCCUACAGUGCUAUGCAGAUUCCCUAUCAACUUUGGGAGUUCAGGCUUGAGAAAUUAGGACGUUUAACCAGAUGUCUGGGAUAGACUGAUGACUUCAAAUGUCUUAAUAUUGCAUUACCUAAAAUUGCUGUAAAAGGGAAUAGGAGAGAUUAGAUACAGCACUGAAUGGAAAUCAAACAGCUUUGACAUGUCUUUGGGCACCUGACAUGGGAGCAGCCAAAACCUCUAAUUACCUGGAAUUUUGGCUUAACUAGUACAGUGGGGAGCUGAACACCAGGCUUUCCUUUAAAAGAAAGGAGAGUUAAACAUGCAGUAUUUCAACUGUAUUUAUAUUAAAAAAGAGAGAAAAGUUCCAUCUGCUUUUUUGUUUUGCACACAGAGAAACUUCAAAGACUUUUUCAUUGUUUAUUUUUAUAGAUGGAGUUAUAAAAACAUAUAUACAACUGUACAAAUACACAGCAUUGAACAACAGAAGGGCGUGUGUAUGUGUACAUAUACACUCACACUGAAUUAUAGAUUCAUGGUGGAUCCAAAACCACUUAUUUAUGUAAACAAGCCAUGAGUGCAGGGCAUGAUCCCUCAGAAAGUACCGCCCUGAUAAGAAAUCGUGCUUUUGGAUGAGCAGGUUGGGGAGCUGCACGUUGGCAAGGACAGGAAGGGUCACCUCCUGCUGAAUGCGCGCUGCUGGAACAUCCCUGGUCCUGCUGGGGCUGCAGCUCUCUGGUCCUGCAAACCUUGCUAUUUGAAUCUGACGGCAGCAGCUUUCCCCUUCCAAGUGCCAUAUCACUCCCUGGCACACUGUGUGCCUUGGCUGAAUCCCUCAGUGCCCUGGUGGCUGCAUGUGAAGCUGUGCAAAGCCUGGCUGAGCAUGGCAGCGGCUGCACCUUGUACCUCUUGUGUGCAGGAUGAACCAAGGCAAAUCCUAAGUUGUCGCAUUGCAUUUGGAGUAGUGACAACUCUUCAACGUAUGGAAAGGGGCCAGCUACCAGACCAGCUCAGUUUUCCUUGUUUAAUCUCUUAAGCACAUUUUCAGGCUUAACUGCUUGAGUGGCAGAACCCCCAUCAGCAAUUUAAAAAAGCAAUUAUUGUGAAUCUGUUCAGAAAAUACUUUUAUCUGCAAGAUCCUGCCCAGCUACCACAUAAUGGAAAUGGUAUGAAUCACCCUGAAAUAUUAAUUGAUAAGAUUUAUGACCUUAAAAAUAUUAUGAAGAACAGAUUAUAAGACAUGCGCAGUUUGGCUCUGUCCAAGGGGGACACAGCAUUUUAAUGAAAGAGUGCUAAUUAUCACAAAAAAAUGGUGGAAAAUUCUUCAGUGGAGAAGAAAAGUUCCACGUGUGAUCAGUCGUGCAUUAUGCCCUUCAUGUAACACAAAAGAGAGCACACCAGAUAGGUUACAGCUCUGCAAAUCCCUACUGGAAAAGCUGCAUUUGCAGAGUAUUUUUCAGAGCUAUGUGCUCUUCUGAGCCUCCAUUGCAGAGGCGUGCACGGCAGCUCCGCUCCCUCUCAUCUUCCUGCUGCUAGCUGCUCAGUUUUCAUAAGAACGAGCUAUUGUCUGUAGUUAUUGAAUGACAUUUUGGAGAAUUUCCAUCUGUAUUUUAUUGUGCAUGCCAUGAAACUUCCACCACCCUCCACUGGUUAUCGCGUUGUCGGAGAUUAAAGAGAGCCAGUGGCUCGCCUAAUUCACCGCCUCGCUCCUGCUCAAGCUUGUCCUAUUUUCAGAAGUGUUUACCUGAUUAGCACAUGCAAUUACUGAUGUGUGCAUAAGGCUCAGCUUGGGUUUUGAAUGUUCCCUGAACCUUUCCUUCUAGAUCAAAGCUCCCACGUCCUCCCGCGCUCCAUCAGCCUCCCGUUGCAGUCAGUGCGACUUUGGCUGUUAACUUUGGCCCGCGAGCACAUUCCUGCAGCUCAGGAUUAGGUGUGGGCUCCAGCGCUGUGCUGCACCACGACCUUUGUUAGACACAGCAUCUGAGCCGCCGUGUUUUUACAUUAUCAGUCAGCGGUGAAUUCCUUACCCAUUUUUUUAAUGACUUUUGCAGAGAGCGGUCAGAUGCUAUUAAAGUUUUACUGAAUUAAA